rnacentral:lncRNA from 1 species
GGAAUGUGAGAAGCCUGAGAUCUAACUUCCCUGCUGUGAUCCCUGCCUUUCUACUAACAGGGAGCCCAGGCGCAGAGCUACUAAUGAGCAUGCUGGAGAGAGUGUCCGAACCAGUGCUGGCUAUAGACAAUCCACCUGUCUGCUCUCCGAUGCAGGAUUCCUUGGUCAGCUCUGGGUGUUAUGUCAAUGAGAUGCUGAGUGACUUACCUUGGCUGCUGUUAUUCAAUAUAACCUAUGAUGAUUCAACUCAUUUGGACACUUGGAUCACAAGAGAAAUUGGUGCUGUUGCCUCCUUUCCUUACUAUGAAAUGGGAAUGGUGCUCCAUCUCUGGUUUUCUGUGUGGACUCAUGACUUCUUCCUUUAUCUUUUUCGCUACUAAUAAAACAUGUUCUGCCAAGACAACUGGUGAGGCCAGGAUGCUGCUCAGAGAGCAGAUGAGGAUGCACUCACACAAUUGGUCAGUGUUCUUCUAAUUAUCACCUGUGAGAUUUGGACUCAUCCUAUAUAACUUUCAUGUUUGAGCAUCUAAUCUGGUGCUUGGACUUAGGUGGGAUGGAUUUGGGACUAAAAGUCCAUAUAUAAUUAGGGUAUCUAGAGUGUUCAGACCUUUAAAU